rnacentral:lncRNA from 1 species
CGGCCGCGGCGGGGCCGCUGUGUCGCGACAUGGGCGACGACUUGGCGUCGGAGGGCGACACCCUGCUUCAGUCAGAGAAGGAGUUCCAUGACGCAGCCAAGCGGAAUGACACGGCCAGGAUGGAGGAGCUCAUCAGGAGAGGGGUUGACAUCAAAGCCAAAAACAAUACCGGAGUGCCCUGCACUGGGCUGCGGGAGCAGGGAAUGUGGAUGCUGUGCGGCUGCUCCUGGGUCACGAUGUCCCCGUGGAUGACGAAGACAGUUUUGGAAUGAAUGCUCUUCUCCUGUCUGCCUGGUUUGGCCACCUCCAUGUCCUGCAGAUCCUCAUCAACGCUGGGGCCAAGACUAACCGUGUCAACAGGGUGAGAGUCUCCCUGUGUGGGUCCAUCACACGGCUCUAGAUGGUGCUGAGGGAUGG